GGGCCCGCACAAGCGGCGGAGCAUGUGGAUUAAUUCGAUGCAACGCGAAGAACCUUACCUGGGCUUGACAUAUGCAGGAUCGGCACAGAGAUGUGUUUUCCCUUGUGGUCUGUAUACAGGUGGUGCAUGGUUGUCGUCAGCUCGUGUCGUGAGAUGUUGGGUUAAGUCCCGCAACGAGCGCAACCCUUGUCUUGUGUUGCCAGCACGUUAUGGUGGGGACUCGCGAGAGACUGCCGGGGUUAACUCGGAGGAAGGUGGGGAUGACGUCAAAUCAUCAUGCCCCUUAUGUCCAGGGGCUUCACACAUGCUACAAUGGUCGGUACAGUGGGUUGCGAUGCCGUGAGGUGGAGCUAAUCCCUUAAAGCCGGUCUCAGUUCGGAUUGGAGUCUGCAACUCGACUCCAUGAAGUCGGAGUCGCUAGUAAUCGCAGAUCAGCAACGCUGCGGUGAAUACGUUCCCGGGCCUUGCACACACC
rnacentral:rRNA from 1 species